GGGGUUGUAGCUCAGUGAUAGAGUGCUUGCCUAGCAUGCAGGAGGCCCUGGUUUCAAUUCCCAGUAAUGCAA
rnacentral:tRNA from 1 species